AUCAGUUUGUCACUCCCAGCCAGUUCACUCCUCCUUCAAGUUUCAAGGUUGCCCCCUCAAUUCUGGGACCUCAGGACGUGACGGUGGUUGUUGGGUCACACAACCUGGAAUGAUGAAAUCAUUACUCCACCUGCCAGCAGCUCCCUUCAGCAACGGCCUCAGUUGGAGAGUGUGGUCUCACCCAGGGUCAUGUUCUUUUGCUGGAGUGGCCCACAUCCCAUGACUGACCUCUGGCCUCAUCUCAGGAUAUCUUGGAAAGUUCAUCCCAUCUUCAGAAUUUUUAAUAUCUGCCAGUCUUGCCUGUGGUGGGCAGCACCUGAUGUCUCUGCAGUUUUGCAGCCUUAGAGAGUUCAAAAGACCUGCUCCAUAUGUGUGCGUUUCAGGUGUCAGCCAGAAAUAUGGCAGUUUAUACACAGAAUUUGGUCUUUUUCCUCUCUAACUUCUCUCCUUUUGGGGAUUUCCUUUCUUGGAUUUUCUCCCACUUUCCAGCUAUUCUAGUUGUCCCAAACUCUGUCUUCUGCUUUUUCAACCCAGUAAGUCUCAGGGCAACAACAGGUGCCCGCCCUCAAGCAAAAAGCCAUAAAAGUGGGAAACUCACUGAAUCCCAUUUCUUUCUCACAAGCACUAACACCUCUCUAGUAAAUGGCUUCUUUUGGUGUUCUCCCGUCUCUUCAGAUAUUUUUUCUAUUUGGUCCAGAGUUUGCAGUUUUUCCCUGUAGGAGGGUUGGUCCAAAAGGAAAUACCUGGUUAUUGCUGGAAGCAGAACCCCUUAUUUAACCCCUUAUUGGUGUCCCCCACCUCUUUUUGAUUGAUCAGUUUAGCUAGAGAUUUACCAAUUUUAUUAAUCUUUUAAAAGAACAGCUUUUCUAUUCAUUCGAUUUCCAAAAUUAUCUUUCUUUCCUUUUCUACUACUUUUGUUUUUCCCAAUAAUUUCUUAAAGUGGAAACUUAAAUAAUUUAGACUUUUCUUCCUUUCUAAUAUGAACAUGUAAGGCUAUAAUUUUUCCCUCUAAGCACUGCUUUA